AUGGCGGACGAGGCCGCCGGAGCGAACUGCCCUCGCCGCAGCACGCGCCUCCUCCCCCGGAUCCACGCGAAUGAGGAGGAGGCCGAAAUUGCAACCCGCCGUUGCAGCCCGCGCCUCCAUCCCCAAACCCUCGCGAGCAAGGAGGUCUCCGGAGUGACCCGCCGCAGCAGCCCGCGAUUCCAUCCCCAAAUCCACGCGAGUGGGGAUGGGGAGGCCGCCCGAGUGACCCGCCGCCGCCGCCGCGGAACCUCGCCGGAGGCGGCUGACUCCCUGCCGGCCAGCGACGAUCUACUCCGGGAGAUCCUCCUCCGCCUCCCGCCGCAGCCGUCCUCCCUCCCACGCGCCGCCGCCGCCUGCAAGCGCUGGCUGCGCGUCGCCGCCGACCCCCGGUUCCUCCGCGGCUUCUCUGCCCAUCACGGCAAGCCGCCACUCCUCGGCGUCUUCGAGCCCCUCGACUGGGAGAUCGACUCGCGCGGCCUCCUUAAUCGUCGCUCCUUCAAGCGCCGUGACAAGUGGAUCGCGUUCACGCCCAUCCUCGACCCUCCCGACCGGAUCCCUCCUCAGCGCUUCGACCUGCGACGUCACGGCGUCGAAACCGGCAUCCGCUCCAGGGCCCAGCUGCUCGGGUGCCGCCACGGCCGCCUUCUCAUCAUGGACCAUGUGCCCAUGGAGUUAGUUGUCUACGCCCCCAUCACCGGCGAGCAGCGCCGUUUGGCCGUUCCCUCCAAGUUUAAGAUGGACUUUCUCAACGCGGCGGUGCUCUGUGCUGACGACGAGCUUGGCCACGUGCACGGCAGCUGCCAUUGGAGCCCAUUCAAGGUAGUCUUAGUGUCCAUGUACAGAAAGGAUAAUCGACCGGUUGCUUGUGUUUACUCUUCGGAGGCUGGUGUAUGGGGCAAUCUCAUAUCUACAGACGCUCGAUGGGGGCUUGUUGAUGCUAAUCCCGGGAUUCUUGUUGGUAAUGUCCUUUACUGGUCGUCGAAGUCUGUGUGUGACGGCGAAGGUUUGUGCUAUUUGGAUAGGCUCACAAAUGAUAUAAUUGAGUUUGAUUUGGAUACACAUAGCCUAGCUGUGAUCAAGGGGCCUCCCUGUCUCAGUAACUCACUUAGACAUCAGAUCGUCAAGGCAGACGAUGGUUCUGUUGGUCUCACCAUAGUCUUUUAUGGUAGAUUCAAAAUGUGGCAGAGGAAUAUUGAUUGUCAUGGUGUUGCCACAUGGUUAAAUCACAAGAGCAUUCAAAUGCAUCAUAUUCUUGGGCUCUCUCAUCACCUUGAGAUAUCGCCGGGAUGGAUAGAUGUACUGGGGUAUGAUGAGGAUAAUGGUGUAAUAGUUUUACAUGUGGACGCCAGUGUCUACAUGGUUCAACUGAUGUCGAUGCAAUCCAAGAAACUUUAUCGAAGCUAUUGUCCCAAUAAUAGAGGUCACCCUUUCACAAGUUUCUAUGCACCAGCUUUUAUUAAUCGCUUGACUUCUUAUGCUUCUGGUCACAGCCAUUCCUGCUGGAUGCGAUGGAGCUGA
rnacentral:rRNA from 1 species